rnacentral:rRNA from 1 species
UAGGGAAUAUUGGUAAUGUGCGAAAGCGCGAACCAGCAACGCCGCGUGCACGAUGAAGGCCUUCGGGUCGUAAAGUGCUUUUAGAGAGGAUGAGGAAGGACAGUACUUUCUGAAUAAGCCUCGGCUAACUACGUGCCAGCAGCCGCGGUAAAACGUAGGAGGCUAGCGUUAUCCGGAUUUACUGGGCGUAAAGCGCAUGCAGGUGGUUUUGUAAGCUGGAUGUGAAAGCUCCUGGCUUAACUGGGAGAGGUCGUUCAAAACUACAAGACUUGAGAUUGGUAGAGGAAAAUGGAAUUCCGGGUGUAGUGGUGAAAUGCGUAGAUAUCCGGAGGAACACCAGUGGCGAAAGCGGUUUUCUGGACCAAUUCUGACACUCAGAUGCGAAAGCUAAGGUAGCAAACG